rnacentral:lncRNA from 1 species
AUGCAUACAGCCCCUGAUGGGUGUAAUCGAAGAACGCAUUCUGACGGUCAAGGGUUAACUCCACCCCCUUCUGUGUUACAGGGCGAGCCAGAGACCCCACCCUCGAGGGCAGCUGCUGGUCCCGCCCAUCGCAGACACGUGCGGACCAUUCAGGAAGUGCGGACACGGUCACACGCAUCAUCACAGACGUGUACUACGAGGACGGGAGAGAGGUGGACUGUAAGGUCACUGAGGUGGGGACCAAGCCAUUUAGCUCAUAGACCUUUCAACUCUUUCUUUUUGACAUUGAUUACGCCUCACUGUGUGUGUGUGUGGUGUGUGUGUGUGUGUGUUCUUUCUCUUCCUCAGGAGUCGGAGGAGCCGGUGGUGGACAGCCGUGUGUUGGAAAGCGACAUCUCUCCAUGUCGCACCGGCAGCUCCAUGACCUCCGGUGACCUGGGUGAUGUCAGCUCUCUGUCCUCCAAAGCUUCCAGCCUGCAGCACAGCUCCGGGGGCACCAGCAUAGUCAUGGGUCCUGCCCAGAGGGCCCCGAGUUUAUCAUGCCGCCCAGCCGAGGGGCCAAGUCUGCCAGCCCCAGGAGGGGGAGUGGGCCACAGCAGAGGGGCCACAGGGGUCAAACGGCAGGGUCAGAGUUCAUGAGAGAGAGAGUUCAAGGACUCCAUGGGUCACGAGCCUUCACCCCAUUGACGCCCCGCGGAAGAGCCAGGAGGGGCAGACCUCCGUCCCGCUCACCCCUGUCCAGGUGAGCCCUGUCUAGGGACGCCACUGGAGCUGUAGUGGGUCAGAGUUUCAGAAACACCUAGUGACAUCAUCAAAAGCAGACAUUAGGUGCAUGAACAAACACAACUACAUCCACGCCAGCACGUACGUAGCCAAUUGUGCCUUCCCAAAAUAGUAAUGCAACGUGAUUCAACCGGUGUGCAACGCAUGGACGCAUGGGAGUUGGUUGCUUCCCGACAUCAUUCAGCAUUCUAAAACAUGUGUGGGUKCGUGUACAUUUUUUCCAACCUUUAGGCUUCCAUUUUGAAAACAAGUCAAUCUGAGAUGAGACACUGAGAUAGUUUAAUGAAACCUUAGAAUUGAGUACAGAAAUGGAACAUUUUGGGUUCCUAGCUUUAGAACAAGGAUCCUCCAUCCUGCUGUUUCUAGAGAGCUGCAGUAGCCCAGGUAUUUGUCUCCAAUCCCACAGGGUCCCUGCUGACAUKAUCCUUUUCCUGUCUUCACUAAUCAUCUCAAUGCAACACAGCUGUCUCCUUUUCCUGUCUUCACUAAUCA